GGGCAGGUACCCAAGUGGCCAACGGGGGCAGACUGUAAAUCUGCUGGCGAAAGCCUUCGGAGGUUCGAAUCCUUCCCUGCCCA
rnacentral:tRNA from 1 species